UGCCAGCCGCCGCGGUAAUACGAAGGGCGCAAGCGUUGUUCGGAAUUAUUGGGCGUAAAGCGCGUGUAGGCGGUUCGUUAAGUCUGAUGUGAAAGCCCGGGGCUCAACCCCGGAAGUGCAUUGGAAACUGGCGAACUUGAGUACGGGAGAGGAAAGUGGUAUUUUUAAAGGAGAGGUGCAAUUCUUAGAUAAUAAAGAGACCAUCAGAGGCGAAGGCAACUAUCUAUGAUAUUACUGACGUUUAAGUACAAAAGCAUGGGGAGCAAACAGGAUUAGAUA
rnacentral:rRNA from 1 species